rnacentral:rRNA from 1 species
GAUGAACGCUGGCGGCGCGCCUAACACAUGCAAGUCGAACGAUUAAAGCACCUUCGGGUGUGUAUAAGGUGGCGAACGGCUGAGUAACACGUGGGCAACCUGCCCCUUUCAUUGGGAUAGCCACGGGAAACCGUGGAUAAUACCGAAUACUUCGAGACUUCCGCAUGGAAGACUCGAGAAAGCUCCGGCGGAGAGGGAUGGGCCCGCGGCCUGUUAGCUUGUUGGUGGGGGAACGGCCUACCAAGGCAAUGAUGGGUAGCUGGGCUGAGAGAGCGACCAGCCAGAUUGGGACUGAGACACGGCCCAGACUCCUACGGGAGGCAGCAGUGGGGAAUCUUGCACAAUGGGCGAAAGCCUGAUGCAGCGACGCCGCGUGCGGGAUGAAGGCCUUCGGGUUGUAAACCGCUUUCAGCAGGGACGAGGCGAAAGUGACGGUACCUGCAGAAGAAGCCCCGGCUAACUACGUG